rnacentral:lncRNA from 1 species
UUUUCUCUUUUUGCUUUAAUUUCUUCCUAUAUUACCCAAAGCGUUUAAACAGAACUUUCUAAUUUGUGAAGUAUAUUUAUGUACAUUCUCUUAUUUAAACAAUAUCUAUAACACUGAAAUCUUCCUCGAAUGGAGACAAAAACCGAUGUGUUUUCUGCCUUCAAGGGGUAGAGACAGACAUGAAGUGCAUACCUCCCGCUUGUCCCAGUCUAGUCAGGCUGGGGUGGUGAUACUACGUAUAGGGCCAUGUGAGGGAGGCUGAAGGAGCUUCUGACACAGCUCUCUCUCCUCUGGCUGAGUGAACAGCUUAAUCCUCGGCUUCUCCACCUGUCUUCUUGGGUGUGCCAGCAAGUACCCGCCCAUUCCCCAGCUCCAGCCAACUGUGCUGGGCCGGGCCUGCGAACCGAUCGCAUAUGUUACCCAGGAAAUUAUUGGGAUGUCACACGGCAGUGUCAUCUUCCUGGCGCCUGCCCUUGAGCAGAUUGUGAUUCAGUGACCCACAGGCCCAUCCCUCACAAUGCUGAACCCUUCGCGAUUGUGCCCCCCCCCUUGGUUCUCCAGGCAGAGACCCCAUCCAGCGAGAGGGGCAGACAGAUCCAGAGCUCCAUUUCCUCAGCCUUUUGCUGAAGAAGCUGCUCUGAGGCCAUCAGGUGGUCCUCAUUUCCGGCCAGUUGCUGCUGAUCCAUGUGCCAUUUGCUCAGUGUGUCUGUGUCAACAGGAAUUACCAGAGCCCUCCAGUCCCCAACGGUUCUGUGUAUCAAGGAUUUCAUGCCACUCCAGUCUCAGAGGGAAUCAGACCCUCUAUGUAAUACAAGAAGCCCCUCGCCAUGUUGAAUAUUUAAUGAAAUUGUGCACUAGCCUGGAUUGAUUCGAUCUGCACGUACCGCUCUCUUCCUGGUGAACCCC